ACCAUGCAAGUCGAGCGGUAACAGGUCCAGCUUGCUGGAUGCUGACGAGCGGCGGACGGGUGAGUAACGCAUAGGAAUCUACCCGGUAGUGGGGGAUAACCUGGGGAAACCCAGGCUAAUACCGCAUACGUCCUACGGGAGAAAGGGGGCUUAGGCUCCCGCUAUUGGAUGAGCCUAUGCCGGAUUAGCUGGUUGGUGAGGUAAUGGCUCACCAAGGCGACGAUCCGUAGCUGGUCUGAGAGGAUGAUCAGCCACAUCGGGACUGAGACACGGCCCGAACUCCUACGGGAGGCAGCAGUGGGGAAUAUUGGACAAUGGGGGCAACCCUGAUCCAGCCAUGCCGCGUGUGUGAAGAAGGCCCUCGGGUUGUAAAGCACUUUCAGCGAGGAAGAACGCCUGUCGGUUAAUACCCGGCAGGAAAGACAUCACUCGCAGAAGAAGCACCGGCUAACUCCGUGCCAGCAGCCGCGGUAAUACGGAGGGUGCAAGCGUUAAUCGGAAUUACUGGGCGUAAAGCGCGCGUAGGUGGCUUGAUAAGCCGGUUGUGAAAGCCCCGGGCUCAACCUGGGAACGGCAUCCGGAACUAUUAGGCUAGAGUGCAGGAGAGGAAGGUAGAAUUCCCGGUGUAGCGGUGAAAUGCGUAGAGAUCGGGAGGAAUACCAGUGGCGAAGGCGGCCUUCUGGACUGACACUGACACUGAGGUGCGAAAGCGUGGGUAGCAAACAGGAUUAGAUACCCUGGUAGUCCACGCCGUAAACGAUGUCGACCAGCCGUUGGGUGCCUAGCGCACUUUGUGGCGA
rnacentral:rRNA from 1 species